rnacentral:rRNA from 1 species
AAUAGAUACCCAGGUAGUCCACGCCGUAAACGAUGUCGACUUGGAGGUUGUGCCCUUGAGGCGUGGCUUCCGGAGCUAACGCGUUAAGUCGACCGCCUGGGGAGUACGGCCGCAAGGUUAAAACUCAAAUGAAUUGACGGGGGCCCGCACAAGCGGUGGAGCAUGUGGUUUAAUUCGAUGCAACGCGAAGAACCUUACCUACUCUUGACAUCCAGAGAACUUGGCAGAGAUGCUUUGGUGCCUUCGGGAACUCUGAGACAGGUGCUGCAUGGCUGUCGUCAGCUCGUGUUGUGAAAUGUUGGGUUAAGUCCCGCAACGAGCGCAACCCUUAUCCUUUGUUGCCAGCGGUUAGGCCGGGAACUCAAAGGAGACUGCCAGUGAUAAACUGGAGGAAGGUGGGGAUGACGUCAAGUCAUCAUGGCCCUUACGAGUAGGGCUACACACGUGCUACAAUGGCGCAUACAAAGAGAAGCGACCUCGCGAGAGCAAGCGGACCUCAUAAAGUGCGUCGUAGUCCGGAUUGGAGU